GAACUAGGCAAAAUGGUGCCGUAACUUCGGGAGAAGGCACGCUGACACGUAGGUGAAGUGAUUUACUCAUGGAGCUGAAGUCAGUCGAAGAUACCAGCUGGCUGCAACUGUUUAUUAAAAACACAGCACUGUGCAAACACGAAAGUGGACGUAUACGGUGUGACGCCUGCCCGGUGCCGGAAGGUUAAUUGAUGGGGUCAGCGCAAGCGAAGCUCCUGAUCGAAGCCCCGGUAAACGGCGGCCGUAACUAUAACGGUCCUAAGGUAGCGAAAUUCCUUGUCGGGUAAGUUCCGACCUGCACGAAUGGCGUAAUGAUGGCCAGGCUGUCUCCACCCGAGACUCAGUGAAAUUGAACUCGCUGUGAAGAUGCAGUGUACCCGCGGCAAGACGGAAAGACCCCGUGAACCUUUACUAUAGCUUGACACUGAACAUUGAGCCUUGAUGUGUAGGAUAGGUGGGAGGCUUUGAAGUGUGGACGCCAGUCUGCAUGGAGCCGACCUUGAAAUACCACCCUUUAAUGUUUGAUGUUCUAACGUGGACCCGUAAUCCGGGUUGCGGACAGUGUCUGGUGGGUAGUUUGACUGGGGCGGUCUCCUCCUAAAGAGUAACGGAGGAGCACGAAGGUUGGCUAAUCCUGGUCGGACAUCAGGAGGUUAGUGCAAUGGCAUAAGCCAGCUUGACUGCGAGCGUGACGGCGCGAGCAGGUGCGAAAGCAGGUCAUAGUGAUCCGGUGGUUCUGAAUGGAAGGGCCAUCGCUCAACGGAUAAAAGGUACUCCGGGGAUAACAGGCUGAUACCGCCCAAGAGUUCAUAUCGACGGCGGUGUUUGGCACCUCGAUGUCGGCUCAUCACAUCCUGGGGCUGAAGUAGGUCCCAAGGGUAUGGCUGUUCGCCAUUUAAAGUGGUACGCGAGCUGGGUUUAGAACGUCGUGAGACAGUUCGGUCCCUAUCUGCCGUGGGCGCUGGAGAACUGAGGGGGGCUGCUCCUAGUACGAGAGGACCGGAGUGGACGCAUCACUGGUGUUCGGGUUGUCAUGCCAAUGGCACUGCCCGGUAGCUAAAUGCGGAAGAGAUAAGUGCUGAAAGCAUCUAAGCACGAAACUUGCCCCGAGAUGAGUUCUCCCUGAGACUUAGAGUCUCCUGAAGGAACGUUGAAGACGACGACGUUGAUAGGCCGGGUGUGUAAGCGCAGCGAUGCGUUGAGCUAACCGGUACUAAUGAACCGUGAGGCUUAACCUUACAACGCCGAAG
rnacentral:rRNA from 1 species